rnacentral:rRNA from 1 species
CCUACGGGAGGCAGCAGUAGGGAAUCUUUCACAAUGGGCGAAAGCCUGAUGGAGCAACGCCGCGUGCAGGAUGAAGGCCUUCGGGUUGUAAACUGCUUUUAUAAGCGAGAAAUAUGAUGGUAACUUAUGAAUAAGGAUCGGCUAACUACGUGCCAGCAGCCGCGGUCAUACGUAGGAUCCGAGCGUUAUCCGGAUUUACUGGGUGUAAAGGGAGCGUAGACGGAAAGGCAAGUCAGAAGUGAAAACCCAAGGCUCAACCAUGGGACUGCUUUUGAAACUGUCAAACUAGAGUACGGGAGAGGUAA